rnacentral:tRNA from 1 species
GUGACCAUAGCUCAGUUGGUUAGAGCAUCAGAUUGUGGUUCUGAGGGUCGGGGGUUCGAGACCCCUUGGUCACCCA